rnacentral:rRNA from 1 species
GGUGGUAAUGCCGGAUGCUCCGACAUGACGCAUGUCGUGUCGGGAAAGAUUCUAUCGGUAUGGGAUGGGGUCGCGUCCUAUCAGCUUGAUGGCGGGGUAACGGCCCACCAUGGCUUCGACGGGUAGCCGGCCUGAGAGGGCGACCGGCCACAUUGGGACUGAGAUACGGCCCAGACUCCUACGGGAGGCAGCAGUGGGGAAUAUUGCACAAUGGGCGCAAGCCUGAUGCAGCGACGCCGCGUGCGGGAUGACGGCCUUCGGGUUGUAAACCGCUUUUGACUGGGAGCAAGCCCUUCGGGGUGAGUGUACCUUUCGAAUAAGCACCGGCUAACUACGUGCCAGCAGCCGCGGUAAUACGUAGGGUGCAAGCGUUAUCCGGAAUUAUUGGGCGUAAAGGGCUCGUAGGCGGUUCGUCGCGUCCGGUGUGAAAGUCCAUCGCUUAACGGUGGAUCCGCGCCGGGUACGGGCGGGCUUGAGUGCGGUAGGGGAGACUGGAAUUCCCGGUGUAACGGUGGAAUGUGUAGAUAUCGGAA